GGCUGACUGACGUCCAGAAAACUGUGAGGGGCAAACAUCCUUUUUCUUUAGCAUUUUCUCUUCUUAACCUUCUACCCUUGGCCUCUUCCUUGCCCAGUGAGGUGAAAUGGUUGACUGUGAAGCCACUCCUGCUAACUGGAAGCAACUGGGCGUUGCCAGGCACUAAGCCAGGAACUUGAACUCAGCAGAGAAGUGGGAUCUGGAUAACUCCUGCCCCUCAGAGCAAGGCUGGCAGCCAGCUCAUGGGCAUUUGGCUACCUGGGGGAGGGAUUUCUGCUCCUGACAACAGGCAGUUUGUUCAGUUCUUCCUGCCCUGAUUCUUCUCCUGUUGCUUUUCACUGCCUCCCUGAGCUGUUUGGUAACUCUACCUCUCACAAGUUUUUGCAGUUUGCUGUAGACUUCAAAAUCCUGGCUCUACCUCUCCUUCCUCUGUAGCUGCAUUUCCCUGCAAAGUUGGAAGCCAACCAAGAUCAAGUUUCUGUAACUCUUUUUCUUUCAGGGUCCUGGAGCUGAACUCUUCUGACCUACAUACCCGAAAGGCUGUAUCUUAUCCUUCCUCACCACCAUUUGAAAAGUUCCCACAGCAGACUGAUUUUAGGUCCCUUUCUGACCUAGAAGCUGACAAAGGCGCCAAACAGUUUUCAGAAACUCUCCCCAUGCUAACAGAUUUUCACUAGCACACAGCUGGUCUGCAUUUGGGGCAGCCUCUGUUUUCUGAGUUCCAACACAAUGGAUUUUUGUGGUUGUCUACCUGUUUUUGCUCCAUGCCCAUGACAUCUUUCUCCUGUUACUGUUUUCUGCACUUCUGUAUUCUCCUCUCUUUUGGUAGAAUUUUCUCCUUUCUUCCCUCUUUAUGAUGUUUUAUUUCUUUCUACUCACCCUGCCGCAUUCUCUUGUUCCUGCCACCCUUUUUUGCUCUGGUUUCAACUAGGAGAUUUUAUGAGUGACUGAAGAGUUUCUAGACUGCUAAUCCAGGGAUAAGGGCAAUCUAUCUCUUUUCAGGGUUAGAUUCCCAGUCCAGCCUACUUCUUAACUGCAUGUGUAAGCUUCAUCCCUCUCCUACCCAUGUUUCUGUGCUGCUUCAUUAAUCUGUAACGAUGACCCACCCUCUUUCCAGACAAGGAGACAUCUUUUCUUGUUUAGAUUACUCAGCUCUUUAGACUUCUCAGUCAGUUAGCUAUUCUAAAAAUGGCCGAUGAAAUCCGAGGCACAACAAAGUUAUUACGAAAACCUUUUCCUUGAGAGCCCCGUGUCUGAUUGCUCAUAUUAGCUGAUAUUUGGUGGAAAGAGCACUAGAUUUUUAAGAAAAGUUCUGGUUUUGCCACAUGGUAGCUGUGCAACCUUGGACAAAUCAUUUACCUUCCUCGGGUUCUUAGCGUCCUCACUGGUCAAAUGGGAAUGCUUCAUGGGGCGUUGAGGAGAUGAAAUAAUCAGCAGGAGAGCACUGUGUAGAUUGCACUGGGAUGGUAGGGUGAACGAGCAGGGAUGGUGUCCUGAUUUGUCUUUAAAUUCUUCAAAGGUAAAGGAUUGUUAAACGUGGAGAUUUGAUUUGGUUUGUUUCUGCCAGGUCUCCUGGAAAGCUACAAACUAGAAGAAGUGCAGAAAUCCUUGUGGUAACAAGGGUAUCAGCUUUUUGUCCACAGAGAGUCUUAAGGAAUUCCGACUCCCGUUUUGAAAUUGUAGCGAAUCCAAUCCCAGGGCAAUGUGGCCCUGGGGUGGUGCUUCGAGAAGUGGAAUCACUGCAGGACAGUUUCAACAUUCACUUCCCAGGCAAGCCUAAAGCCUGUUUUAAAAGGGCGUGUAGGGGCCAAACCCUUAACAGUCUGGGAUAUUUCAGACUGGCACCACCUCCUCUGGCUGUUUCCGAGGCCAUCUAGAGGCCAGAGCCCAGUCAGCUUAAAUGAAAGUAAAGAGAGGGCUGCGGGAGUUUGGGACCUUUGUGCAGAUGUGCUCAUGCUCGUUAGAGUAGAGGGCGGGAGAGAGGAAAGGAAGGAGGGCAUUGGGAGCCGAGGCCCCUCCUUUCAUUUCAGAAAAGUGCACAGGCAGAGCGGGCUGAGUCACAGGCACAGGUGAGGAACUCAACUCAAACUCCUCUCUUUGGGAAAACGCGGUGCUUGCCCCUCCCGGAGUGGCCUUGGCAGGGUGUUGGAGCCCUCGGUCUGCCCGGUCUGGUCUCUGGGGCCAAGGCUGGGUUUCCCUCAUGUAUGGCAAGAGCGCUACUCGUGCGGUGCUUCUUCUCCUUGGCAUACAGCUCACAGCUCUUUGGCCUAUAGCAGCUGUGGAAAUUUAUACCUCUCGGGUGCUGGAGGCUGUUAAUGGGACAGAUGCUCGGUUAAAAUGCACUUUCUCCAGCUUUGCCCCUGUGGGUGAUGCUCUAACAGUGACCUGGAAUUUUCGUCCUCUAGAUGGGGGACCUGAGCAGUUUGUAUUCUACUACCACAUAGAUCCCUUCCAACCCAUGAGUGGGCGGUUUAAGGACCGGGUGUCUUGGGACGGGAACCCUGAGCGGUAUGAUGCCUCCAUCUUUCUCUGGAAACUGCAGUUCGAUGACAAUGGGACAUACACCUGCCAGGUGAAGAACCCACCUGAUGUUGAUGGGGUGAUAGGGGAGAUCCGGCUCAGCGUCGUGCACACUGUACGCUUCUCUGAGAUCCACUUCCUGGCUCUGGCCAUUGGCUCUGCCUGUGCACUGAUGAUCAUAAUAGUAAUUGUAGUGGUCCUCUUCCAGCAUUACCGGAAAAAGCGAUGGGCUGAAAGAGCUCAUAAAGUGGUGGAGAUAAAAUCAAAAGAAGAGGAAAGGCUCAACCAAGAGAAAAAGGUCUCUGUUUAUUUAGAAGACAUAGACUAACAUUUUUAGACGGAAGCUGAUGAUUUCCAAGAACAAGAACCCUAGUAUUUGUUGAAGUUAAUGGAAACUUUUCUUUGGCUUUUCCAGUUGUGACCUGUUUUCCAACCAGUUCUACCGCAUAUACAAGCAACAUCCCUCUGGAGCCAGCACAGUGCUCUUCCAUAUCACCAGUCAUACACAGCCUCAUUAUUAAGGUCUUAUUUAAUUUCAGAGUGUAAAUGUUUUCAAGUGCUCAUUAGGUUUUAUAAACAAGAAGCUACAUUUUUGCCCUUAAGACACUACUUACAGUGUUAUGACUUGUAUACACAUAUAUUGGUAUCAAAGGGGAUAAAAGCCAAUUUGUCUAUUAUAUUUCCUUUCAUUUAUUUCUUUUAGCAGCACUUCUGCUACUACAGUUAAUGUGUUUACUCUCUUUCCUUCCCAUAUUCUCAAUUAAAAGGUGAGCAAAGCCUCCUCGGUGUUUUUGACUAACAGUAAAUCGUAAAUUCAAACUGUUAAAUGACAUUUUGAUUUUUAUGUCUCUCCUUAACUAGGAGACACAUCUUGUUUCAAUGAAUUUCUUUCAAUAUUCCAGGUGAUAGAUUUUUGUUGUUGUUUUGUUAAUUAAUCUAAGAUUUACAAAAGCACAACGCUAAAUCACACAGUAACUACAAAAGGUUGCAUAGAUAUGAAAAGACUGGUAGAUGCCAUUGCAGGAUGAAUCACCUGUCACUUUUCUUCUGUGCUGGGAAAAAUAAUCAACAAUGCGGGUCUUUCAUGAGCAGUGACAGACUGUUUAGCUUACUAUGUUGCCCCCCAGUUCAAUGAUCUAUAAUAACAGAGCAAAGCCUAUGCUCUUUUGCAGACUGGAAUCAUUAAGCAGUUUAAUAAAAAUAUCGUGAAACAGUAUAUUACAAGUUUGAAAAUUCAGGGCUGGUGAAAAAAAUCAACUCUAAAUGAUGAUAAUUUUGUACAGUUUUAUAUAAAACUCUGAGAACUGGAAGAAAUUGUUAACUUUUUAAAAAAAUUCUAAUUCACUUGUUUAUUUUGGGGGAGGAAGGCUUUGAUAUGGAGCACAGAAAUACCAAAACUACUUUAAAUGGAAAAAAAAAAAAUUUUAUUCUUUCUUUCCCCUAUACUGGUAGAUAAAGCAAACUUUAUAAGUGGGCUAUUGAAAGAAAAGUGCCUUUUAAAAGUGUUUAGUUUCCCCGUGUCUUUUCCAAGCCUCAGAUACAGAAGUAUUUGUUCAAAGGAUAGAAAACAUCUAAAAGUUUAGGCUCAAGAUCAAUGUUUACAGACUGAUAUUUUCAGUUUUUAAUUGACUGGGCUGCAGAUGUUAUUUCUUUUAACAAACUGGAAUUUUCAAAUAUUAUCUGUAUUUAAAUGUAUGGACCUUGAUAUUUUUCCAAUACUAUUUUUUAAAAAAUUGUUUGAUCUACAUAUGAACCUCAAUUCUGAAAUUCAUUACAUAUCUGUUUCAUUCUGCCUUUUAUACUGUCUAAAAAAGCAAAGUUUUAAUGUGCAAUUUUAAAACUGUAAAUUACAUCUGAAGGCUAUAUAUCCUUUAAUCACAUUUUAUAUUUUUUCUUCACAAUUCUAACCUUUGAAAAUAUUAUAACUGGAUAUUUCUUCAAACAGAUGUCCUAGAUGAUGGUCCAUAAGAAUAAUGAAGAAGUAGUUAAAAAUGUAUGGACAGUUUUUUCAGCAAAAUUUGCAGCUUAUGUCUUGGCUAAAUAGUCAAGGGGUAAUAUGGGCCUAUUGUUUAGUGUCUCCUUCCUAAAGAGCACUUUUGUAUUGUAAUUUAUUUUUUAUUAUGCCUUAAACACUAUGUAAAUAAACCUUUAGUAAUAAAGAAUUAUCAAUUAUAUAAUUUGUGUAUAUACAUAUCUAAAAGUUCUACACUGCAGGGAAAACAGAUGGAUAUAUAUUUUAUCUUUACUGAAAAGUUUUCUUAGUAGAGACAACCUGCAAGUCAAUAAUGGAUACAUUAGUUUCUAAUGGGUAAACAGAAGUAUACGGAUUUCCACAGAAUUUUCACAUUGCUUUGGAUAGCUGGGAAUUGGGCAUAACAACACUAUUUAGUUUGAGCGUUCUUUCAAAGAAAAGUAUCAAAGAUUAUAUUUAGUACUUUGCAUUACAUUUUUAAUAGGGAAAACUACUGGCUUUCAAGUCUAGUAAAGGAAUGGAAAUUGAAAAAUGGAAACUUAUUCUUUCCCAAAGCGAAAGCAUACUUUUAUUCUCCUGCUUUCAUUGACACGUGGCUAUUUCCAGGGAAGAGGCUUACUGAUUAUUACAGCAGUGUACUUAUUGUACCAUCUCUUUUUCAGAAGUAUGUGACGCCACCUCACUUCAAGUACUGUGAUAACAUAACUUUCUUACUUUUCCAACCACAGACACACAAAUCCCAGUUCUCCUUUUCCUCUAAUACAGGCUAUAAUGAUUUGAUCAUCAUUGCCACUGCCAAAAGUAAUUUAAUAAACCCCCAAUUUUGGAUGCUGUGAUAGUUACCCUAAAAAGGACAACAACCAAUGAGGCUUGUGGCACAUAUCACUACCAGCGCCUAAUAUAUAUUUAUCUAUGCUGUAUGAUCUCCCAGGUGUUUCUGAACUCUAAAUUUACGGGAGCGUAUUCUGAGAACCUUCAACUAAAUCUCGAGACGUAAAAAACGAUGUCUGAUAUGCUGAGCAUCAAAAUUAUUUAGUUCUGCAGAAUUCCACAACAACAAACUUGUAAAUAUUUAAAGUCUGUAGCCUACUUCAUUUUCAAGCAAAAUAGAAAAAUUAGCUCCCGCCUGAAAGUUAAUGAAUCGCUGGUCAGUGAAACCAGGUGUGGUUCUGGAAAGAAGCCAGGUUCCUAUGGUAACUCCGGAUCGCCCUUUAAGUUGUCUCUCGGCCCCCUGCCCUGACGUCACUUCCGGCGUUACCUGUGUCGUUACUGGGAGCUGUAAACAAGGUGUGCAAGCAUCUGGAGAGCUGCCGGGAUGCAGCAGAGCGGAGUAGCUGGAGGCCGUGGCUGCGCUGUCUUCCCUCUGCUCGGCGUCCUGUUCUUCCAGGGUGUUUAUAUCGUCCUUUCCUUGGAGAUUCACGCAGAUGCCCAUGUCCGAGGUUAUGUUGGAGAAAAGAUCAAGUUGAAAUGCACUUUCAAGUCAACUUCAGAUGUCACUGACAAGCUUACCAUAGACUGGACAUAUCGCCCUCCCAGCAGCAGCCGCACAGUGUCAGUUUUGGCACCAUGCUUUCCUCUGUGGCCCUUCUUUCCAUCCUUGUCUUUGUGCCCUCAGCCAUGGUGGUUGCUCUGCUGCUGGUGAGAAUGGGGAGGAAGGCUGCUGGGCUGAAGAAGAGGAGCAGGUCUGGCUAUAAGAAGUCAUCUAUUGAGGUUUCAGAUGACACUGAUCAGGAGGAGGAAGAUGCAUGCAUGGUGAGGCUCUGUAUCCGUUGCGCUGAGUGCCUGGAUUCAGACUAUGAAGAGACAUAUUGAUAAAAGUCUGUACGACAUGAGAAGAGUCACCUAAUAACACGAAACAUCCCAUUCCACUGGCAGCUACCGCCUGUCAGAGAAGGGGAGCUGGCCUAGACCAUAGUGACGGACAAUCCUGGAGAUCAUCAGUAAAGACUUUAGGAACCACUUAUUUAUUGAAGAAAUGGUCUUGUAUUUAUAAACUGUUCAGGAACUCUCAUAAGAGACUCAUGACUCCACUUUCAAUAAAUUAUGCUGUAAUUGAAUGAAGAAAUUAUUUUCCUGAGCAAAAAGAUACUUUUUGAUUUGUCUUGGCUCUGGAAUGUAUUACAUGUUUUCUUCCAACUGUUUGAAGGAGAAUCCUGAAUGUUUGCCACACUGCUGAUGCCAAAAUGAUUUUUUCAAUGAAGUGGAGCUUAUGAUUUCCUGACGUGUCACCAGACAAAAUGUUUGCUUGGGAUAGGUGUUCUUUGUUCUUUGCUCCAUGUACACUUUCAGCUGGGAGUUAGUAUAGGGCAUAUACUCAUUGGUUGAAUCACCUCAACCUCAGUUGUGUUUGGAUAAUUUAGGGUGUAUAGCCUUAGUUUCCUUAGAGUUUUGGUAGGAUCAAGUCAUUGGUUUGCUUUGACUGGGUUUUUAAAGUAUUAAAUACAAUGUCAUCAAUUUACAGUUAAGGAAAGGAAUCAUGAAGUAGAAAAAUUAUUUUAUUUAGUCUUGCUGGUACAAUUUGGGCCAAGGAGUCUUUGUUAUUUUUUUUCUUUUUCUUUUCUUUUUUUUUUUUUAAGGCAGAGGCUCACUCUGUCGCCAGGCUGGAGUACAGUGGUGUGAUCUUGGCUCACUGCAACCUCUGCCUCCUGGGUUCAAGCGAUUCUCAUGCCUCAGCCUCCCAAGUAGCUGGGAUUACAGGCAUGCGCCACCAUACCCAGCUAAUUUUUGUAUUUUUAGUAGAGACAGGGUUUCACCAUUUUGGCCAGGAUGGUGUCAAUCCCCUGACCUCAUGAUCCACCCGCCUCGGCCUCCCAAAGUGUUUGGAUUACAGGCAUGAGCCACUGUGCCUGGCCUGUUGUUUUAUUUUCUUAUAACUACAACUUUUCUUCUUGACUUUUCAGGUCCGAGGCAAGAAAAACUCUUUACAGGUUUUUAGUGGGGGCUUAUGGAGUAUUUCAGGAGUUCUUUGCAAUUAAAUCAUCUUUUCACUUGUAUUGUCUUUCAAAACUUUGUUGAUUUCUAAAAUGCACCAACUAUGAGUAACUAUGGUAUUUGCAAGCGGUUUUUACAAAAUAUUUGAGAUGAGGAAGUGAGAUUAUGCAUAACAUACUUAUCCUUUCUGUUCUCUCAGUGCCUUACAACAGGUUACUCCAUUCUGCUAUGACAACUUGUUUCAAAUGUUAAUUUAUGUAGGAUUUUUUAUAAGCCAUUAAGGCAUAUGUAUAGCAUAUCAGUAAAGAUGGAUAGUGCAUAUAUAAAUAGUCCUCUGUAAUAGCGAUUGAAUUUACUUCUCAAUUAUGAGAGACAAAAAUUAUCCCCUCACCUGUCUCUAUUCUUUCAAUAGGUUGAUCCCUUAUCAUGGUUUUUCAUUAGUUGGUUAGGAAGUUUCCAUAUUACAGCACUUUAGACUGUAUAUGUUAGUUUAAAAAUCAUUUUUCUCUCUCUCUCAAUUUCUUUUUUUUUUUUUUUUGCAAAGACCUAAUUUUAAAAAUUUGGGUUAUUAGAUCUGUAUCAUAGAUUUGGCGUGGCCUCUUCUGUUAACCUAGUCCACAGAUUAGUGAAUCUGGUUAGUUGAAGGACAUUGUGAUUUGACUCUGGUCAUGUGAGGAAGUAGAAGAGGCAAAGACAGGAACGGCAGUUUACAUUUCCACUGGUUAAACCUCACGGUACUUUGGGGGGCUGCUUGUUAACUUAUGUGGUUAUCUGAGGCCAAUCUAACGUGACCAUUUCUGACACCUCAACAGAGAGAGAAAAGCAACUUGAGCAAUGACAGUAAAUAAUUUGGGCUCUCAGAGAUUUGAAGAUAGAGACCUAAUUGUGAGGGGGACUAUUUUGUGGGUCCUCAUUUCUCCGCGAAAGAGAUGAUGUUACAGGAACCCACUGAAAGCCACAUCCCAUUAAAUGAGGAACCGGUUUUAGCUGGGCCUUCUUGUAAUGUCCUUGCAGGUGUGUUGUGAAGAUUAAUGCAGGGUGCUAUGUUUGUAGAUUGACACCUAGUCUAAACUUGAGGUAAUUGGUGCUCUAUGAAUACUCAGUCAUGUUAUUUUAUAGCCUUAAUCAUGAUUUGAACUAGUCCCUUCCUUUUUAAAUGACUGAAUGGAGUCCGUCGUGGUAAGGGGAGUACAUUGAUAAUUUAGUUUACUUCAUGGGUUUGUGGUCACAUCCCAGUCAUCAGCUGCUAUCAUUUUCCUUCUUCAUCCCUUAUGUUGAGAUUUGGGUUACAGCUUUUUAUUCUGUGAAGGAUCACGAAGUAGUGUACGGACACCUGCCUUCUUUAAGGAUGAAAGGAAGAUAAAGUGUUUUUUUUUGUUUGUUUACUUGUUUGUUUCACCUAUUGUUUGAGUAACUUCUAAGGUGCUAUUCUCUCUCUCUUUUUGCUACCCCAUGAGCUCUUGUCACAGCCAUGGAAACCAGCCUUGUUUAGAAAGGGAACUUAGUUCAGAAGGGGUUAAAAGCCUCCCAGAGUUUUCCUUUAGCUGCUGAAGUUUUUACUUGUGGUUACAUGACCUUAAGUUUUAUGCAUUAGGCUCUUAAUUCUAUUACAAAAUGUGAACUUACCAAUUGCUUUGUGUUUUCCAUGUGACCUGUUACUUCAGGCUACUUGGGGAACAUCUUAGUCCUCUGUAGCUCCUGAACCCAGCACUGGUGCUUCAAGAGAGAAGGUAGCCCGUCUUUGUUCAAAACAAAACAAAACACCACUUCUGGAGGCCAUAUCCUGAAUAUGAAUGUUCUACUAAGUCACUCAGUUAUGGUUCUAAAGGGAAACCAUAAGAAGACCCACAAGGAGUGGACCAAGACUAUUAUUUAAUUGCACAACUUGAAACUUUGCUGCCAGAAGAGGCAGCUCCAUUCCUUUGACUCCAUUGUUGGGCUGUUAACUGCUGCACGUCAUUGACUUUUUUGGUUUUUGUGUUUUUGUAGGAGGGUAGGCGCUGUUGGGCCAUAUGCACAGAUAUUGUAACUCUUGGUGUCUUUACUGCAUCAUAGUCAAUAAACUUCUUUGCACCCUUUG